UAGUUCUGUGUCGCCCUUUACCGACUCAGCAAAGGCAAUUUCCCAUUGUGAAAAACAAUGGAUGUACCGCUAUUAAAAAUUCAGUUGACCCACCCAUAUUUGAUGGUAACUUUUGGAUAAUAACCAGGUGGUUAAAAUAUCAGAAUACAAACCCGUUCAAAUGCUUUCGAGAACAUUAUUCACCGGAUAUGCCUCUGGCGACUCGACAAAGUGUUUUUGUGGAAACCGACAAUAAAAAUUAUGCCGUUCAUUUAACUUGUUUGGGCGGAGAUUCGUCUGAAGAAAGUGAUGGAAUGGCCAAUUAUUUGGUUCAGACCUACGCCACUGAAAAAAGGCCAUCAGUUAGAAUUAUGAAGAAAAUUUUGCAGGCGCACAAAAGGCACGGCUUGGAGUUGAAGUUUCUAAAAUAUUGCGUGUAAAUAUAUUGGAAAAAAUUAUUUAUUCCCAUUGAAAAGUGGUCUGUAGCCAAUAACUAGACUAAGAAAUAUCAUGCUAAUUGAAAAUUUUUA
ensembl:ncRNA lncRNA:CR43825 long non-coding RNA:CR43825